UAGCACCACUGGAGCGAAGAGAUGAGGAGCUGUUCGACUGGCGUGGGGCAGCGAAAAGAUCGCAUCUCAACAUUGCUGCUCAACCAGAUGGAAGCCAUCCCACUUAACAGCAGGACAAGAGAAUCAUUUGACAAUAUAAUAUAUCUAAUUGUAUCAUGUCAUUCAUCUGACUUCUUGACUUCUUUGUCUUGGAUCGUAGUAUAGAGCAUGGAUUUUGUUGUCUUGGAUCGUAGUAUAGAUCAUGGUAUAUGGCUCUUUGGAUUGUAGUAUAGAAUGGUGUUUGUUGUAUUGGUUCCCGUGUAUUAGUUUUUACAUUUUGGUUGGAUUUUGCAGGGUUUAUUGCUUGUAUUUUGUGUUGGGUGUAGAAAAAAAAAAUCUAAUCUCUUCCUUAUUUUCUUGACAUCAAAACCAUCUGCGUACUCCUGCAUCAUACAUCAUUUCAUAGAGAGCAAAACUGUAAAAUUUAUUACUGUUCAGAAUGUUAAGCAUUUUUCCAAUCCAUUCAGUACUUCCUAUUCAUUUUAAAUAUGUAGUGAAAUCAUCCUAUUGUCUCUUAUGGAUUCAGUCCCUCACUGUUGUCAACCUAUGGACCUUUCAGGUAUUUAGUAUUAAGAAUUUUUUACAAUGACCUUUUCAAAUUAGUCUGUCUUCAAAAUUGAGGGCUGUGUUUUGCCGAUAAAAUGUGAAGGAAGUUUAUAAUAUAUUUCCAUGGAAUUUUGAAGAGUUCAAAUUUAUUUAAUGGCAUAAAAGUUCAGACUAUCCUAAAUCUUCUAUGUAAACCCCCAUCAGGGUGUCGAGCACAUUUACCAGAGUUGAGCAUAUGCACCUUGAAUGAACUCGAUACUACCAUUUUCUGGACAUCUAUAUCAACGUUACUGUGCUCACUUGUAUCAUACAUCAUUAAGACCAAAGAGAAAAACUGUAGAUGGUAUUCGAGUUACUACGUAUUUUUUACUGAUAACCCAUAGUUCUAAAUGUACUUAUUCCUUAUUUUUACUAAAACUGACUUCAUCUAUUGUGCUACAUACAAAAGAUCGAAAUAAAUAAUCUAAUCUAAUCUAAUCUAAUCUAAUCUAAUCAUAUGCUUGUAAAUUGUUUCAUUGGUAUUGGCUGUUCAGCAAUUCUCAAAUGAAUUGAUUACUUCCUAUUUAGCAAUCUGUGCAAAUUGUUCGACCAUUUAUUAAGUUUCAUAUUACUCUAGUUCAUGUUCUGAAACUGAAAUUAACCAUACUGUUAAAGUACUGUCUCGUGUGGAAUUGUGUGCUCCUCGUUAACAUGUCAGCUAAUUUUUGAUAUUUUGCAUUUGAGACAAGGAACUCAACAAACUAGUUGGUACUGAAUGUGAAUGUAUGUAUCCUAUUGUGUCUUGGAAAUAUAAUUUAUUGGAAAUGCGA